rnacentral:lncRNA from 1 species
AUGUCUCUGGGAGGAGCCCAGGGAGGGCUCAGUGCUGUCAGAAAGGGACUUUGAGAGUCUCGUCAUGAUGCGCAUGCGCCAGGCAGCUGAGCGCCAGCAGCUGAUUGCCCAGAUGCAGCAGGAAGAUGAGGGGCGGCCCACGUAGCCCCGGCUCCAGCCUUCCCACCCCACACCCUUUCUGAAUCAUCACCAAUAAACUUUUUU